rnacentral:rRNA from 1 species
UACGGAGGGUGCGAGCGUUGUCCGGAAUCAUUGGGCGUAAAGGGUUCGUAGGCGGUGUGGCAAGUCGGGAGUGAAAUCCCUGGGCUUAACCCAGGGGCUGCUUCCGAAACUGCUGUGCUUGAGUGUGGGAGAGGCGCGUGGAAUUGCAGGUGUAGCGGUGAAAUGCGUAGAUAUCUGCAGGAACACCCGUGGCGAAAGCGGCGCGCUGGACCACUACUGACGCUGAGGAACGAAAGCUAGGGGAGCAAACAGG